rnacentral:lncRNA from 1 species
GAUGUCAACGGGUCGGAUUCAGAGUAAAUUUUUAAAAAUCUAAACCCGAAUCCGACUUCAAAUUCGAGACCCGAAUCCGAACGCGACCAAAAAUUCGAAACCCGACCAAAAAUUCGAAACCCGAACCUGAACCUAAAAAUUUAAACCCGAAAUAAUUAUUUUUUUUCAAUAUUUCAAAAUAUAUUAUAUUAAAUCUAAACUUUUAAAAUAUAAAUUCAAAUAUAACAUCAUAUAUAUAUAUAUAUAUAUAUAUAUAUAUAUAUAUAUAUAUAUAUAUAUAUAUAUAUAUAUAAAAUACAAAAUAAAUUCGGGUUCAGGUCGAAUUCGGAUCGGAUUCGGGUUCGAGUUCGGGUCGGGUACAGUCAAAAUCUAUAUCCGAAUUCAUAUCCGUCGGAUUUUUAUUUUUGAUAUCCAUAUCCGAAUCCAUAUCCAUUUAGUAUUGAAUAUAUCCGUUUCAUUCGGGUUCGGAUUGGGAUAAAAUUUCGGAUAUCCAUACCCAUUGACAUCCCUACAUACUGUAAUAAUAGUAGUAUUGUUCUUACAUAUGGAGCUCAUCCUUUAUAAGGGAUGCAAAUGGAUCUCGGUUGGUGGAGUUUCUGUUCUGAUCCGCUUUGAAUGAAGCGAUAAAUAAAAAUAAAAAAUAUAAAAAUAUAUAAUUUGCUCUGAUCCAUCUCAAUCCACCAAAUAAAUAGAACGGGAGGUGCGAGAUCCAUUUCUUCCUUUAAUCCGCCAAAAAUCCACCCAUCCCCCGAUCCAUCAUGAAUGGGACGGUAAGUGAGAGCUAAAAAGAAAAUAAAAAAUAACUCGUUCUGAAUCCGUCUCGUCCCGAUAAAAAAUAGAGUGG